AUUGAACGCUGGCGGAAUGCUUUACACAUGCAAGUCGAACGGCAGCACGGACUUCGGUCUGGUGGCGAGUGGCGAACGGGUGAGUAAUGUAUCGGAACGUGCCCAGUCGUGGGGGAUAACGUAGUGAAAAUUACGCUAAUACCGCAUACGAUCUAUGGAUGAAAGCGGGGGAUCGCAAGACCUCGCGCGAUUGGAGCGGCCGAUAUCAGAUUAGGUAGUUGGGGGGGUAAAGGCCACCAAGCCAACGAUCUGUAGCUGGUCUGAGAGGACGACCAGCCACACUGGAGCUGAGACACGGUCCAGACUCCUACGGGAGGCAGCAGUGGGGAAUUUUGGACAAUGGGCGAAAGCCUGAUCCAGCCAUUCCGCGUGCAGGAUGAAGGCCCUCGGGUUGUAAACUGCUUUUGUACAGAACGAAAAGGUUUCUACUAAUACUAGGAGCUCAUGACGGUACUGUAAGAAUAAGCACCGGCUAACUACGUGCCAGCCGCCGCAGUAA
rnacentral:rRNA from 1 species